CCUACGGGAGGCAGCAGUGGGGAAUAUUGGGCAAUGGGCGCAAGCCUGACCCAGCAACGCCGCGUGAAGGAAGAAGGCUUUCGGGUUGUAAACUUCUUUUCUCAGGGACGAAGAAAGUGACGGUACCUGAGGAAUAAGCCACGGCUAACUACGUGCCAGCAGCCGCGGUAAUACGUAGGUGGCAAGCGUUAUCCGGAUUUACUGGGUGUAAAGGGCGUGUAGGCGGGAACGCAAGUCAGAUGUGAACACCAUGGGCUCAACCUGUGGCCUGCAUUUGAAACUGUUGUUCGUGAGUACUGGAGAGGCAGACGGAAUUCCUAGUGUAGCGGUGAAAUGCGUAGAUAUGAGGAGGAACACCAGUGGCGAAGGCGGUCGGCUGGACAGCAACUGACGCUGAGGCGCGAAAGCGUGGGGAGCAAACAGGAUUAGAUACCCUGUAGUC
rnacentral:rRNA from 1 species